rnacentral:rRNA from 1 species
GUGGGGAAUCUUGCACAAUGCGCGAAAGCGUGAUGCAGCAACGCCGCGUGAGGGAAGACGGCUUUCGGGUUGUAAACCUCUUUCAGUUGGGACGAAGCCUCGUCGGUUAAUAGCCGGCUGGGGUGACGGUACCUUCAGAAGAAGCCCCGGCUAACUACGUGCCAGCAGCCGCGGUAAUACGUAGGGGGCAAGCGUUGUCCGGAAUCAUUGGGCGUAAAGCGCGUGUAGGCGGUCCGGUAAGUCCGCUCUGAAAGUCGGGGGCUCAACCCUCGGAUGCGGGUGGAUACUGUCGGGCUAGAGUGCGGAAGAGGCGAGUGGAAUUCCUGGUGUAGCGGUGAAAUGCGCAGAUAUCAGGAGGAACACCAAUUGCGAAGGCAGCUCGCUGGGACGUUACUGACGCUGAGACGCGAAAGCGUGGGGAGCAAACAGG